rnacentral:misc_RNA from 1 species
GUGAAUCAUCAAAUCUUUGAACGCAAAUUGCACUCUCUUGUAUUCCGGAGAGUAUGCCUGUUUGAGGGUCAGUUUAAAUAAAAAUCGGUGUGGUUUCUGCCUUUCGUGGUUACGCACCGGAUUGGUGUCGUCUUGCCUUUGGUGAAGUGACCUAAAAUUUUUCAUGAUUUUUUCGAGCGUAUUUAAAUUAUUUUACGUACUUUUCUGACAUCUAAUACUAGGUGUUGUCAUCUA